GACGUAGGGCGCGAGCGUUGUCCGGAUUUAUUGGGCGUAAAGAGCUCGUAGGCGGCUUGUUGCGUCAGCUGUGAAAACCUGCAGCUUAACUGUGGGCGUGCGGUCGAUACGGGCAUCACUGGAGUUCGGCAGGGGAGACUGGAAUUCCUGGUGUAGCGGUGAAAUGCGCAGAUAUCAGGAGGAACACCGGUGGCGAAGGCGGGUCUCUGGGCCGAUACUGACGCUGAGGAGCGAAAGCGUGGGGAGCGAACAGG
rnacentral:rRNA from 1 species